UUUCCGUAGGUGAACCUGCGGAAGGAUCAUUCAUAAUAAGUGUUUUAUGGCACUUUUUUAAAUCCAUAUCCACCUUGUGUGCAAUGUCAGGGUUGAUUUUUCUCUCGAGAGGAUCAGCCCCAAACAUCAACUAUAUCUCAACUCUUUGUCUGAAAAAUAUUAUGAAUAAACAAUUCAAAAUACAACUUUCAACAACGGAUCUCUUGGCUCUC
rnacentral:misc_RNA from 1 species